rnacentral:rRNA from 1 species
GCAGAACGCGAAGAACCUUACCAGGCCUUGACAUGCAGAGAACUUUCCAGAGAUGGAUUGGUGCCUUCGGGAACGUCUGACACAGGUGCUGCAUGGCUGUCGUCAGCUCGUGUCGUGAGAUGUUGGGUUAAGUACCCGUAACGAGCGCAACCCUUCGUCCUUAGUUACCAGCACGUUAUGGUGGGCACUCUAAGGAGACUGCCGGUCGACAAACCGGAAGGAAGGUGGGGAGUGACGUCAAGUCAUCAUGGCCCUUACGGCCUGGGCUACACACGUGCUACAAUGGUCGGUACAGAGGGUUGCCAAGCCGCGAGGUGAAGCUAAUCUCACAAAACCGAUCGUAGUCCGGAUCGCAGUCUGCAACUCGACUGCGUGAAGUCGGAAUCGCUAGUAAUCGCGAAUCAGAAUGUCGCGGUGAAUACGUUCCCGGGUCUUGUACACACCG